rnacentral:rRNA from 1 species
AGCGAACGCUGGCGGCAGGCCUAACACAUGCAAGUCGAACGAACUCUUCGGAGUUAGUGGCGGACGGGUGAGUAACACGUGGGAACGUGCCUUUAGGUUCGGAAUAACUCAGGGAAACUUGUGCUAAUACCGAAUGUGCCCUUCGGGGGAAAGAUUUAUCGCCUUUAGAGCGGCCCGCGUCUGAUUAGCUAGUUGGGGAGGUAAAGGCUCACCAAGGCGACGAUCAGUAGCUGGUCUGAGAGGAUGAUCAGCCACAUUGGGACUGAGACACGGCCCAAACGCCUACGGGAGGCAGCAGUGGGGAAUCUGGCGCAAUGGGCGAAAGCCUGACGCAGCCAUGCCGCGUGAAUGAUGAAGGUCUUAGGAUUGUAAAAUUCUUUCACCGGGGACGAUAAGGACGGUACCCGGAGAAGAAGCCCCGGCUAACUUCGU